GCCUGCAACAUAGCAUUAAUGCAUCGGAUCCCAUUAGAAAUCCGUAUUCAAGCACACUCAGAAUAGAGUAGUACUGGGAUGGGUGACCGCCUGGAAAGUCCUAGUGUUUUACAUGCC
rnacentral:rRNA from 1 species